GACUGGGGCGGUCUCCUCCCAAAGCGUAACGGAGGAGUACGAAGGUACGCUAGGUACGGUCGGAAAUCGUGCUGAUAGUGCAAUGGCAUAAGCGUGCUUAACUGCGAGACCGACAAGUCGAGCAGGUGCGAAAGCAGGUCAUAGUGAUCCGGUGGUUCUGUAUGGAAGGGCCAUCGCUCAACGGAUAAAAGGUACUCUGGGGAUAACAGGCUGAUACCGCCCAAGAGUUCAUAUCGACGGCGGUGUUUGGCACCUCGAUGUCGGCUCAUCUCAUCCUGGGGCUGUAGCCGGUCCCAAGGGUAUGGCUGUUCGCCAUUUAAAGAGGUACGUGAGCUGGGUUUAAAACGUCGUGAGACAGUUUGGUCCCUAUCUGCCGUGGGCGUUGGAUAUUUGAAGGGGGCUGCUCCUAGUACGAGAGGACCGGAGUGGACGAACCUCUGGUGUACCGGUUGUGACGCCAGUCGCAUCGCCGGGUAGCUAUGUUCGGAAGAGAUAACCGCUGAAAGCAUCUAAGCGGGAAACUCGCCUUAAGAUGAGAUAUCCCUGGAGGCUUGACCUCCUUGAAGGGUCGUUCGAGACCAGGACGUUGAUAGGUCAGGUGUGUAAGCGCAGUAAUGCGUUCAGCUAACUGAUACUAAUUGCCCGUAAGGCUUGAUCCUAUAACA
rnacentral:rRNA from 1 species